UUAAACCUAUUUAAAAUGACGGCAUUUCAUCUCAUUAAAGGAAUCUGUUUUAUAAUCGACAAUCCACGAUAAUUUUCACUUAAAUCAUAAAAUUUAUAUACCGCCAUCUUAAAAAUUAAUUUAAUAAUAUUAUUUUAUAAAAAGACAGGUCAAGGUGUAGUCUAUAUUUAAGCAAAUAAUGGAUUACAUUAAAAAUAAUUUAAGGAUUAGAAAUAUAAAUUUCUCUAUGAAAAAGGAUUUAAAAGUAAUACUACAAUAAUAUUUUAUUAUG
rnacentral:rRNA from 1 species